GAUGAACGCUGGCGGCGUGUCUAAGGCAUGCAAGUCGAACGCUCUUGUGCCGCAAGGUACAAGAGAGUGGCAAACGGGUGAGUAACACAUUGGUAACCUACCUUCGAGACGGCCAUAACCCGGAGAAAUCUGGGCUAAUAGCCGAUGGCGUGUUUGUACGAUGGUAUAAACACUAAAGGUUUACUCCGCUCGAAGAGGGGCCUAUGGCCUAUCAGCUAGUUGGUAAGGUAAUGGCUACCAAGGCUACGACGGGUAGCGGGUGUGAGAGCACGACCCGCCUCACGGGGACUGAGACACUGCCCUGACUCCUACGGGAGGCUGCAGUCGAGAAUCUUCCGCAAUGCGCGAAAGCGUGACGGAGCGACGCCGCGUGAACCGAAGAAGCCCUUCGGGGUGUAAAGGUCUUUUAUCAGGGACGAACGUUGACGGUACCUGAAGAAUAAGGGGCUGCUAAACUCGUGCCAGCCGCCGCGGU
rnacentral:rRNA from 1 species